rnacentral:rRNA from 1 species
GAUGAACGCUGGCGGCGUGCCUAAUACAUGCAAGUCGAGCGAACGGACGAGAAGCUUGCUUCUCUGAUGUUAGCGGCGGACGGGUGAGUAACACGUGGAUAACCUACCUAUAAGACUGGGAUAACUUCGGGAAACCGGAGCUAAUACCGGAUGAUAUGUUGAACCGCAUGGUUCAAAAGUGAAAGACGGUCUUGCUGUCACUUAUAGAUGGAUCCGCGCUGCAUUAGCUAGUUGGUAAGGUAACGGCUUACCAAGGCAACGAUGCAUAGCCGACCUGAGAGGGUGACCGGCCACCCUGGAACGGAGACACGGUCCAGACUCCUACGGGAGGCAGCAGUAGGGAAUCUUCGGCAAUGGGCGAAAGCCUGACGGAGCAACGCCGCGUGAGUGAUGAAGGUCUUCGGAUCGUAAAACUCUGUUAUUAGGGAAGAACAUAUGUGUAAGUAACUGUGCACAUCUUGACGGUACCUAAUCAGAAAGCCACGGCUAACUACGUG